rnacentral:rRNA from 1 species
AUUGAACGCUGGCGGCAGGCUUAACACAUGCAAGUUGAACGAGUGGCGGACGGGUGAGUAAUGCUUGGGAAUCUGGCUUAUGGAGGGGGAUAACGACGGGAAACUGUAGCUAAUACCGCGUACCAUAGGAUGAGCCCAAGUGGGAUGAGGUAGUUGGUGAGGUAAAGGCUCACCAAGCCGACGAUCUCUAUCUGGUCUGAGAGGAUGACCAGCCACACUGGGACUGAGACACGGCCCAAACUCCUACGGGAGGCAGCAGUGGGGAAUAUUGCGCAAUGGGGGCAACCUGACGCAGCCAUGCCGCGUGAAUGAAGAAGGCCUUCGGGUUGUAAAGGUCUUUCGGUAGCGAGGCGUUAACUACAGAAGAAGCACCGGCUAACUCCGUGCCAGCAGCCGCGGUAAUAC